rnacentral:rRNA from 1 species
CGAGCGAACAGACGAGGAGCUUGCUCCUCUGACGUUAGCGGCGGACGGGUGAGUAACACGUGGAUAACCUACCUAUAAGACUGGGAUAACUUCGGGAAACCGGAGCUAAUACCGGAUAAUAUAUUGAACCGCAUGGUUCAAUAGUGAAAGACGGUUUUGCUGUCACUUAUAGAUGGAUCCGCGCCGCAUUAGCUAGUUGGUAAGGUAACGGCUUACCAAGGCAACGAUGCGUAGCCGACCUGAGAGGGUGAUCGGCCACACUGGAACUGAGACACGGUCCAGACUCCUACGGGAGGCAGCAGUAGGGAAUCUUCCGCAAUGGGCGAAAGCCUGACGGAGCAACGCCGCGUGAGUGAUGAAGGUCUUCGGAUCGUAAAACUCUGUUAUUAGGGAAGAACAAAUGUGUAAGUAACUAUGCACGUCUUGACGGUACCUAAUCAGAAAGCCACGGCUAACUACGUGCCAGCAGCCGCGGUAAUACGUAGGUGGCAAGCGUUAUCCGGAAUUAUUGGGCGUAAAGCGCGCGUAGGCGGUUUUUUAAGUCUGAUGUGAAAGCCCACGGCUCAACCGUGGAGGGUCAUUGGAAACUGGAAAACUUGAGUGCAGAAGAGGAAAGUGGAAUUCCAUGUGUAGCGGUGAAAUGCGCAGAGAUAUGGAGGAACACCAGUGGCGAAGGCGACUUUCUGGUCUGU